GGGCGGGGUGUGGGACCCGGAUGCCCGGGCAAGUCCCGCCUUCUCCCUGAGGGAGCGCGGCUUCAUUGUGUGCAGUGCGCAGGCGCAGCGUUCCUUAGGCUAGGCUACUGGCCACUCUGUAGGAUUGAUUCAUGAUACCGAGCUAUAAGGUUCAUAUAUUUUCAGCUGGAUAGUGUUUUCCGUGUCUAUGGACAUUCUUAAGAGUUAAAAGAGUUUACUUGGCUUGGCUUCUCGUAGCAUCCGACCCAAGAGUCCUCAAAGGAAAUCUCCCUUGGAAAAUAUGUCAGCGGUCGUACUGGCUAGAGUUUUAUGUCAUCCCCACACAGCUAGUGUUAUCUGGGAAGAGAAACCUCAGUUGAGAAGAUGCUUCCAUUAGAUUGCUUGAGAUUAGUGCUGCUCCCAAGAUUGGACAGAGAACAUUCUGUUUGCAGCGGGAAGCAAUUAAUGCAGAGAUCCGGAAUUUUUAGAGCGCCCCGUGACCCUUGUGAUGGCAGACACAAGUCACACAUUCAUGCAAACCUGUAGAAUGGAUGGCAACAAGAGUGAAGCAUGGAUUCUAGAUGGUAGUGACAUACCAAUGAUGGGUCAUCAGCUGAACUCCGUGGUCAAAGGCAGAGUAGAAACCCUGGAUGGAGAUAAUUAUUUUCUACAACAUCUGUGUGUAUAUGCAUAGUUCUGCCUGCAUGUAUGCCUACAGCCAGAAGAGGACAACAGAUCUCAUUACAGAUGGUUGUGAGUCACCAUGUGGUUGCUGGGAUUUGAACUCAGGACCUCUGGAAGAGCAGCCAGUGCUCUUAACCACUGAGCCAUCUCUCCAACCCCCAAGUGCCACCUUAAUGGAAGGACUUAUUUUGACUCAGCUAAAUGAAAUACAGUCUAUUUCCAAACUCAGUCAUAUGAGAGUGAAUGGACAUGUUUGCCCCUUUGGCAUUUCCAAGCCCAGUUACAUUGGGGGUUUUAAGUGAACGGUGGACCAGUCAUAUGGGAGAAAGAUAGUUAAGGAUACUUUGGCCCCAUACUUUUCAGAGUCCGAUCAUAUCAGGAGUGUAUGUUAGCCACUAUGAUCUUUCUGAGCCCUUCUGUCCACCACCCCCAUGACAUUUCCAAGUGAUGUGGGAGGAUUGUGUGGGCACAUUGGCUCCUAUGCCAUAUGCCAGUCAUUUGGGAGGGUAUAUGCACAUGUUGACCCCAUAGCAUUCCAAAGCCCUGUCAUGUUAAAGGGUAUUAGUUCACAUGUGAUUUAUGAACACGAGGACCAUUAUAUGAGAUGGCUAGUCUUGGUUGUCAAUUUGAUUCCAUCUGGAAUUAACUAAAACCCGUGAGGGAUUUUUCUUAAUUAAGUCACUUGAAGCAGGUAGAUCCAUCUCUAAGCCAGAUCUUUUGAGGAGGGAAGAUCCAUCUGUAAUCUGGACUGCACUUUCUGCUGGCAACCUAUAAAAAGGACAUGGAAGACAGAAGAUUCUUCUCUUUGCCUAUUUGCCCUCAUUCUUGCUGGCAAGUCCAUUCCUUCAUUGGCAUUAGCACCUACUUCUUUGGGAUUCCAGUGCAUGCUGAAGACCAGCCGAGACAUGUAGUGUCGUAGGCUGAACAACGGCCAGAUUCUUGCACGCUCUGUUGGUAGAUAGCCAUUGUUGGACUAGCUGCACCACAGCCUGUAAGGCUCUUUGUAAGUUCUGUUCCUCCUGAGAAUCUUAACCAAUACACACAUGUUGGCCUGUA